UACGGAGGAUGCGAGCGUUAUCCGGAUUUAUUGGGUUUAAAGGGUGCGUAGGCGGAACAUUAAGUCAGCGGUAAAAUCGAGGGGCUCAACCCCAUCCAGCCGUUGAAACUGGGGAUCUAGAGUGUGCGAGAGGUAUGCGGAAUGCGUGGUGUAGCGGUGAAAUGCUUAGAUAUUGCGCAGAACUCCGAUCGCGAAGGCAGCAUACCGGCGCGCAACUGACGCUCAUGCACGAAAGCGUGGGUAUCGAACAGG
rnacentral:rRNA from 1 species